GUCUUCCUAUUUGUCGUUGGCUUCUGCAUGUGUAAUAUAUUCCUUCUCCUUUUUCAGCCCCAGCAGUCCCAAGGUUUGAAUAAUUUCCACCAAUUGGCAGCCCUUUUUGUGAUUUUUGUCCUUUAAUAAUUUAAUCCACGCUCCCAAAGGUAGCCUCAAUUGUGUAUCUCUUUCCCCAAUGUUGGCGUGUGGAAUAUAUGCAAUGGCAGCCCUUUUAUUUCUAUAAUUUUCCCCAGAUUUUCAGCUACGUUCUCUCCCCUUCCGGCUGCCAAUUUGUGUGUUCUUUAUAUAUCAAAAUCAGCCCAAGCAGCCGCCUUUUUUGGUGUCAAUUUUCUCCCUCUUUCCCUGCUGUGUGGUGUAUAUGUGUAUAUCUUUUUUCCAGCAAGCA
rnacentral:lncRNA from 1 species